rnacentral:rRNA from 1 species
GAUGAACGCUAGCGACAGGCUUAACACAUGCAAGUCGAGGGGCAGCACGGUGUAGCGAUACACUGGUGGCGACCGGCGCACGGGUGAGUAACACGUGUGCAACCAACCCCGUACCGGGGGAUAACCCGCGGAAACGUGGACUAACAUCCCAUGAUACUCGAGAGCCGCAUGGCUCUAGAUUUAAAAUUCCGGUGGUACGGGACGGGCACGCGCGACAUUAGGUAGUUGGUGGGAUAAAAGCUUACCAAGCCGACGAUCUGUAGCUGGUCUGAGAGGACGACCAGCCACACUGGGACUGAGACACGGCCCAG